UACGUAGGGUGCAAGCGUUGUCCGGAAUUAUUGGGCGUAAAGAGCUCGUAGGCGGUUUGUCGCGUCUGCUGUGAAAACCCGAGGCUCAACCUCGGGCCUGCAGUGGGUACGGGCAGACUAGAGUGCGGUAGGGGAGAUUGGAAUUCCUGGUGUAGCGGUGGAAUGCGCAGAUAUCAGGAGGAACACCAAUGGCGAAGGCAGAUCUCUGGGCCGUAACUGACACUGAGGAGCGAAAGCAUGGGGAGCGAACAGG
rnacentral:rRNA from 1 species